ACGUACUGGAGCCGCCGGCCUUGUCCUCAGUGUGGCCGGAAGACGACUCGGGGCUGCUGCUGCUCUCGGGGCGCCGCCGCCGCUCUUUCUCCUCUGCUGCCGCCGCCGUCUCCCGGCAGCCGCCGCCGCCGCCGCUGUCCGAACUUGAAGUUGUCGGCGCGCCCGUUGCAGCCGCCGCCGCCGCCGCCGCGGAGGUCGCCGUGGCCGCCGGGGGCCCCUUCUCGGCGCUCUUGUCCCCGGGGUAGUCGGAGGAGGCGAGGUUUUCCGGGGUGCCGUAGGCUGUCUCGAAAAACUGGUCGAAAGCCUGUGGCAGGACGCCGUUCCUGCCCACGGUGCUAUAGAAAUUGGACGAGACGGCGGGGGUGGGGUGGUGGUAGACGUUGGCCGAGCUCUUGGCCAGCACGUCGCCAGGCACGCCGGCCGCGCUGGGCGCCUGCAGGCAGUCUCUGUGCACGAGCUCCUCCGCGGAGUAGCAGUGGGCCAGAUUGCCGCGGGGGUGCCAUUUAGUGGCGGGCUCAAUGGCGUACUCUCUGAAGGUCACUUCGCGCACGGGUUGGACCUGGGGCAGGUUGGAGGAGUAGGAGUAUGUCAUUGGGCGCGAAGACGGGGUCUGGGGCAGAAAAGAAGGGAGGCUGGAGAAAUCUGGACCCGAGACGUAGUAAGUACAACUUGGCAAAUACAUGUUAGAGGAGCAGGGACCACGCUCAUCAAAAUCCAUUAUUGGGCUACCUUGGGCUCUCCGCAGUAGCCGAGCUUAACAUGAUUCUCCACUGCAGCUGCCUCUUUGAAGCGGAUCCGUGAAGUAGAAAUUUGGAGACGUAAGCUGACGUGGAAAUCUAUCCCCAUCCUUAGCAGGGAGGUGCUGGUCAUGUGACCCGAUGUUGAAAUUGACAAGCUGCGAGCUAGUCCGGGCCUUUUUUCCCCCCCUUUCCUUUUUUUUUUUCCUCCCCUCCCCUCCCUCCCGGCUUCCUUUCUUUGUAGCCACCUCAGGGGAAGCAACAGAUCGUCACUCGGUGUUCUCACCGAAAGCACGUAAUCGCCGGUGUAACUCAUGUUGGCUGGGGGGCCUCCCGGCGCGCGCGGAGAGCCUGGGGUGCGCCCCCAUGCAGCAUGCUUGUGCUCAAUUGCAGGGUCCUCGUUCUCGAGUGUGCAGAGGGCGGUGAGAGCUCAACUCUCGUCCCCACCUCCCACCCGCAGCUCCCCGGGUGGGUGAGGGAUGCCCUGGACUGGGGAUAGCCAGGGAGUCCGUCGCUGUGUGGCCUGUGGUCUCGGAGUCUGUUCUCCUGGAGGCUCGCAUUUGCACCCCCUUCUUCGCAGUCCCCCUCCCAUAGACUUGCUCUGGGAAGCGCCUCUGCCUCCGACCCUAGCCGGAACCCCUUCGGGGCCAGAGUUUGAAGCCGUGGAUGUGCCUGCCUGGUGGCUUGUCCGAUUUGCACGGUGACUUGAUUACACUCUCUCAUUCAUGGUCACUUCCGAAGCGCUUUAGUGCCUUCCGUCCCUAAACCGCCAACAGCCAGAACGGCUUCUCUCCGCGGUUUGUCACUGAUCCGCAGGGCCCGGAAGGGCCUUCGUCUUACCCGGGAUCCACCUCUCCCCUCAUCUUCCCUGCCUGCCUCUUCAUCCCACCUUCUGUCCUUGGAGAAACCCCCUCCUCCUCGCUGCCUGCCGGGCUUCGGAGUGACUCGGCAGAGACAGAGGCACAGGGGCUGCCCUGCUGCUCAACAGUCCACCCAUCUGCCUGGUCUUCUGGAGCUGAGGACUCGGGAAACCAUGCAAUUGAGGCAAGCCUUGGGCUGCUUUAGAGGCGCUGACAUCCGAGGAGACUUCUCCUGGGAUUGAAGGAGCAAUGUUUGGAGGAAGCGAAAGAAGGGAGAGGACACAGAGCACAGAGCAGCCAGGCAGAGCCAGGAGCUGAGAAGGGCCCAGACCUGAGGCCUCCCAACAACUCUCUUCUUGGAAGGAUCUGGGGUGUUGCUGAAGGAAAAUAAAAAAAUAUGUAAAAAGAUAACCUUUUGCUUUUCCCUCUCCAGGAAAUAGCCAAAGUUAUUUACAUAUCUUGGGGAGAUUUAGAGUAUAAACUCUAAGAUCUUUGGUAUUUAAGUGUCAACAUCGAUUUAUUUAUUUAUUGCUGAGCUGACUGUAACUGACUCAAUAACAAAUCUAAUCAUGUAUUGCACUGGAAAAGAAAUAUUCUUAUUAUGUAUUUUCUCCAAAUAAUGGCCUACCAUUGCAUUUGAAUACCUGCUGUAAAUAUCAAUAAUAUGAAGUAAUUACUCUGUAGUCGAGUAAACUAAUUUAUUAGCAUUAAUGUUUAUGUGGCUCUCCACCUCCCCCCACCACCUUUACAAGGAUUGCUUAUCACAAAUCAAGCUACCUGGACACAUUGGUUUAAUGAACUCUUUAUUCAAGAUUUGCUACAAGAACUUUCAUGUCCUUUGAAUCCCUGAGAACUGAACUUGAAAUUAUUUGUGCAUCUUCAGCCUGACAUAUUUGUCCACUGUGGCUUGUCCAGAGGGCAGCAGUGCUGUGAGUGAGAAGGUCCAGUGGGAAGGAAGGUUAUUGGAGAAGAGUAGCCUCAGACCUCCUAAAGCUGGGAAGCACAUUUACAGAAUUGCCCUGCAGCGAAAAAACUUCUAUUUCCAGCAGUGACCAACAAGGCAAAAUGUUUGUUUCUCCACAGCAUCUCUUUUUUAGAGACAGAAUAUAAAAGACAGAAGGAGAGGUUUCAAACAGCGGUAUUCGAGCUGUUCCCUGGCUUGAUUUUGGCUAUCCCAAGCUCUCUCUCUGCAGCCCACCCAGUCCACGCCACCCCUACCUUCGAACAAAAGGAAUGCAUGAAGGGUUUCAGUGACUUUGCCAUAACAAAGGCGCCACCAUUGCGGGGCUCGCCCCGCCCCUGGGUGAAGGCAAACAAAUUCUUGCACUUGUAUUAGGGCUUUUAAGACCAUAAUUGAACCCGGGGGCGUCUAGGAAAACCGAAAACAGUUCUAGACAGACCUGCGGUUUUAUAGCAGUUUUGGCAGUCAACUUCAGCUUGUGCCUGAGCAGACGGGGCUGUGGUGGCCCGCCAGCGGGGGAUGCCAGGCCACCUCCCCCAGCGGCACGCAGCCCCUCUCUUAAUUAGAUCGGUUUUCCCCUGGUGUCCGGGAGAGCGGUCCCGGCAGAAAGGUCGGUAUGGGGGUGUGCGCUGUUCCGCAUAACCACUGCCUCCCAUGUCCUCCUCAAGGGCCAAACCGAGAGGGUGCUGGCAGGGCUGGAUCCCACGGGUGUCCGCAGGAGACAAAGGCGAAUUCCGGAGAAAAGGCUGGGGCUGAGAAAGGCGCUCCGGGAGCGGCUGGCAGGGCAAUUCGGCAGGCUGCACCGAAGCCGGGUGCCCGGAGGGACUUGCCGCCCGGAAGGGGGUGUGUGGGGGCGCUGCCGUGAAGAUGGAUGAGGGAAAAGGUUUUUGAUAUCAGCAGAAGGGAAAACGCCUGGAGUGGCCGAACACUUUUAGUUGCCCAGCAGGAAUAGGAGACGGGUACUCAGCUCCCCAAGGCUGCGCAAUGUCCCAGCUUUGCCCGCUCCUGCCCUCGUGUUCGGAAUAUGCUGGCGGUGUGAAUGUGAAGGUUUCUCCAGGCAGGCGGCUGGGGUGAGGGGUGGGCGCAGCUCUGAGGAUCAGACCAAAUCUAGGGGAAAAACGGGAGGCAGACCUUCGGGUCCUUGGUUUUGACUUUGCUCUGAGCCUAUGAUUGACUCUUCCGCUUUGCAGGAGGUCCAACAGCCGAGCUUAGCCCACCGGGCUCUGGGAAAGAUCCGACCGAGGCUAAAGCCGCCCCGGAAGGCCAAGUCCGAGUUCCAUUUCUUGAAGAGGCCGGCGCGCGUAAGGCUGUGACAUUGGCCCUGGCGACUGGCUUCCCAGGAGCUGUUCUUUCUCAGGAGCUCCACAGCGCGGGCCAUCUCCAGAAAACUGUCUUCAGAGUGUAUUUCCUUUUAUCGUCAACCCAGAGCCCCACCGCGGCUAACGCAAGAGGCCAAAAAAUGUUUGGAGGAAGAAAAACAAAGGCAGGAAGUGGCGGCGGCCUGACGGUGCGUGUGUGUCUGCAGAGAAGGGAGGGAGCCGGCUCAGUCUCUUCUUGUUUUUCCAAACUUCAAGGUCCAGGCAGCCCUCUGCAGGGCCGGGCCCCAUCGCUCCCCGCGCGGCAUUGGAGGUGGCCACCCGGAGAGGAGAAGGCCAACGCCUGCGCCAGGCUUGUCAGGCGGAAACGGCUAACAAGGAGAUUUGGUCAGCAAAACAGACCGAGCCUUUCCGAGGCUUCGUCUGACUUGGCCCGAAAGGUUGGGGAGGGGGGGUUUGCGCAGAGCCUCAGGGACCCUCCUCUCUGGGGACUACCAUCCCUGAGCCUUACGCUUCGUUCCACCGCCUUUGCAGGCGGAAUAUCGGAAUAAAGUGGGUCCAGGCGCC